rnacentral:lncRNA from 1 species
AGAAAGAACUGAUGGAGUCUGAAUGGAGAUUGAAGCAUACAUUAGAAAAAAACAAACAAACAACAACAACAACAACAACAAACUUCUUAGGCUCCAUGUUAGAAUAAAUAUUGGUUCUACAGCAGAAGAGAAGGUGUUAUGGAAGAAAAAUCUCCUUUUUGAGUUCAUGUGGUUGGUAACUGCUGCCAAAAUGGAUCUCCUACAAUGCAGAAAUUGUAAAGCUUCUUCAGAGCCUGGGACAGAAAAAAACCACAAGGGAAGAGGCAAGCCCAAGCUGUCUGGAAAAAAAAAGGAAAGAAAAUUGCAGGAAAAUGUUUCAAUCUGUUUAAAACAGAGUUUAUGUUUCAAAAUAUCCCCCUAAUAACUCUCAAGUGAGAGCUGACAAACAAGGUGGAAUAGGUAAGAUAAAAAAAGUUGUCCAGGCAUCGAUCCCAGAAAAGUUAGAUAACUUUUGCAUUAAAUUUAUUUUUAUGUGAAUGAAAAGGAUAUAAACAUACACACACACAGAAAUAAAUGCUACCAUGUGCUAGGCUGUUUAUGUUUA